GAUGAACGCUGGCGGCGUGCCUAAUACAUGCAAGUCGAGCGAACGGACGAGAAGCUUGCUUCUCUGAUGUUAGCGGCGGACGGGUGAGUAACACAUGGAUAACCUACCUAUAAGACUGGGAUAACUUCGGGAAACCGGAGCUAAUACCGGAUAAUAUUUUGAACCGCAUGGUUCAAAAGUGAAAGACGGUCUUGCUGUCACUUAUAGAUGGAUCCGCGCUGCAUUAGCUAGUUGGUAAGGUAACGGCUUACCAAGGCAACGAUGCAUAGCCGACCUGAGAGGGUGAUCGGCCACACUGGAACUGAGACACGGUCCAGACUCCUACGGGAGGCAGCAGUAGGGAAUCUUCCGCAAUGGGCGAAAGCCUGACGGAGCAACGCCGCGUGAGUGAUGAAGGUCUUCGGAUCGUAAAACUCUGUUAUUAGGGAAGAACAUAUGUGUAAGUAACUGUGCACAUCUUGACGGUACCUAAGCAGAAAGCCACGGCUAACUACGC
rnacentral:rRNA from 1 species